rnacentral:rRNA from 1 species
UACGUAGGCAGCGAGCGUUGUUCGGAAUUACUGGGCGUAAAGAGUGUGUAGGCGGUGCUCUAAGUUCGGUGUGAAAUCUCCCGGCUUAACUGGGAGGGUGCGCCGGAAACUGGAGUGCUCGAGCGUGGGAGAGGAAAGCGGAAUUCCUGGUGUAGCGGUGAAAUGCGUAGGUAUCAGGAGGAACACCUGCGGUGUAGACGGCUUUCUGGACCAUUGCUGACGCUGAGACACGAAAGCGUGGGUAGCAAACAGG